rnacentral:rRNA from 1 species
GACGAACGCUGGCGGCGUGCCUAAUACAUGCAAGUCGAACGAGUGGCGGACGGGUGAGUAACACGUGGGAACCUACCCAUCAGUGGGGGAUAACUGAUCGAAAGAUCAGCUAAUACCGCAUACGAUUGGAGCGGCCGAUGCCCGAUUAGCUAGUUGGUGAGGUAAAGGCUCACCAAGGCGACGAUCGGUAGCUGGUCUGAGAGGACGACCAGCCACACUGGGACUGAGACACGGCCCAGACUCCUACGGGAGGCAGCAGUGGGGAAUUUUGGACAAUGGGGGCAACCCUGAUCCAGCCAUGCCGCGUGCAGGAUGAAGGUCUUCGGAUUGUAAACUGCUUUUGUCAGGGAAGCGGUACCUGAAGAAUAAGCACCGGCUAACUACGUGCCAGCAGCCGCGGUAAUAC